UAGCCUAGUGGUUAAGGCAAUGGAUAGCCAAUCCGGAGACGGCGGGUUCGAUUCCCGU
rfam:Aedes albopictus isolate Foshan contig170983, whole genome shotgun sequence.